AUGCAGAGAAUGCAGGGGACGUCCGUAGCACGGGGCAAGCAGGCCGCUGUCCCCCGGGCCACCAGACCAUGCUGGAGUAGCAGCCACCCUGCAGGGCCCCACUUCAAGCCAGUGGUGCUGGAAGUCCCUCUGGAGGCCAUCUGGCCGAGCAGUGUCCUUUCAGAGAUGGAGGGACCUGGGCCACAGAAAUGUGUGGUGGGGUCUGACAUGUCCCAAGUUGCCAGCUUGUUCCUGAUGUCAGGCUGCCUGCCACCUGACCACUUUCUGAGCCACUCGUCCCGAAAAUCCUUGAGGUCCCGUAAGAGCUCAGAGCAGGCAGCGCCUGGUGCAUUUCUCUGUGACCAGCAGACACCCAUCAAUCCUCUGAGGGUCCUAGGAAUGUUGGUGUGUAGGUGGGGGAGUUUCACCAUUCCUGGGAAAGCCCGAUGCUCCAGAGGGGAGUGGGGCCAGCCCCUGCCACACACACACAUGCUCUGGGAUUUUACUCUGGCCCGUUUAUUUGAGUACUGUGGGCGGGUGGUGGCCUCCUUGUCACUCACCGGCCUGCUGAGAAUCACAUGGCAGAGGCUUCCACUCGGAGCCUGCAAGCAGAGACCAGAGGGACCUGCCUGUGACUGUCACGGCUUCGGUGCGGAGAAAGGCUGCCCGUUGCGUCGGCGGCGCACGUGGAAUCGGGAUGCGUUGGAGUCUGUAACUUCUAAAACCUGAACCACCUCAGGAGGCCCCCACCUCUGCCCUCCACCAGCGUUGAGAGCGGGGGACAGCAGUGACAUCGGAGAGAAGACCCGGGCUCCCAUCCUCCCCCAGGACGGUCUCCAGAUAGGAAGGGCACUCCCAGCCCUCUUGCUGGUGACGUCGCCAUGGCCAUCCUGUCUCUGUUUGGAUUUUUCUUCUGGGGUUUAUGUUUGGGGGGAGGUUUAUUCUUUCUGAAAAUCUCUAGAUUCAGGAACACAUUUAUGAGGAUUUGGAUUUUGAAUUUGUAUUUCCCUCUAAGUGCCUUUUUAAAUGUAUUUUUUUAAAAUAAAACAGGAAUGCAUUAUUGUACA
rnacentral:lncRNA from 13 species